UGUGGGAGCGAGCCUGCUCGCGAAGGCGGAGCCUCAGCAAACACUAAUGUUGACUGUUCCACCGUCAUCGCGAGCAGGCUCGCUCCCACA
rnacentral:misc_RNA from 1 species